rnacentral:rRNA from 1 species
UACGUAGGGUGCAAGCGUUGUCCGGAAUUAUUGGGCGUAAAGAGCUCGUAGGCGGUUUGUCGCGUCGAGUGUGAAAACCCGGGGCUCAACCCCGGGCCUGCAUUCGAUACGGGCAGACUAGAGUUCGGUAGGGGAGUCUGGAAUUCCUGGUGUAGCGGUGAAAUGCGCAGAUAUCAGGAGGAACACCGGUGGCGAAGGCGGGGGUCUGGGCCGAUACUGACGCUGAGGAGCGAAAGCGUGGGGAGCAAACAGG